rnacentral:rRNA from 1 species
CGGAAUUACUGGGCGUAAAGGGUUUGUAGGUGGCUUGUUAAGUCAGACGUGAAAUCCCUCAGCUUAACUGGGGAACUGCGUCUGAUACUGGCGAGCUUGAGUGCAGGAGAGGAACGCGGAAUUCCAGGUGUAGCGGUGAAAUGCGCAGAUAUCAGGAGGAACACCGAUGGCGAAGGCAGGUCUCUGGGCAUUAACUGACGCUGAGGAGCGAAAGCAUGGGGAGCGAACAGG